ACAUGCAGUCGAGCGGACCGACGGGAGCUUGCUCCCUUAGGUCAGCGGCGGACGGGUGAGUAACACGUGGGUAACCUGCCUGUAAGACUGGGAUAACUCCGGGAAACCGGGGCUAAUACCGGAUGCUUGAUUGAACCGCAUGGUUCAAUCAUAAAAGGUGGCUUUUAGCUACCACUUGCAGAUGGACCCGCGGCGCAUUAGCUAGUUGGUGAGGUAACGGCUCACCAAGGCGACGAUGCGUAGCCGACCUGAGAGGGUGAUCGGCCACACUGGGACUGAGACACGGCCCAGACUCCUACGGGAGGCAGCAGUAGGGAAUCUUCCGCAAUGGACGAAAGUCUGACGGAGCAACGCCGCGUGAGUGAUGAAGGUUUUCGGAUCGUAAAACUCUGUUGUUAGGGAAGAACAAGUACCGUUCGAAUAGGGCGGCACCUUGACGGUACCUAACCAGAAAGCCACGGCUAACUACGUGCCAGCAGCCGCGGUAAUACGUAGGUGGCAAGCGUUGUCCGGAAUUAUUGGGCGUAAAGCGCGCGCAGGCGGUUUCUUAAGUCUGAUGUGAAAGCCCCCGGCUCAACCGGGGAGGGUCAUUGGAAACUGGGGAACUUGAGUGCAGAAGAGGAGAGUGGAAUUCCACGUGUAGCGGUGAAAUGCGUAGAGAUGUGGAGGAACACCAGUGGCGAAGGCGACUCUCUGGUCUGUAACUGACGCUGAGGCGCGAAAGCGUGGGGAGCGAACAGGAUUAGAUACCCUGGUAGUCCACGCCGUAAACGAUGAGUGCUAAGUGUUAGAGGGUUUCCGCCCUUUAGUGCUGCAGCAAACGCAUUAAGCACUCCGCCUGGGGAGUACGGUCGCAAGACUGAAACUCAAAGGAAUUGACGGGGGCCCGCACAAGCGGUGGAGCAUGUGGUUUAAUUCGAAGCAACGCGAAGAACCUUACCAGGUCUUGACAUCCUCUGACAACCCUAGAGAUAGGGCUUCCCCUUCGGGGGCAGAGUGACAGGUGGUGCAUGGUUGUCGUCAGCUCGUGUCGUGAGAUGUUGGGUUAAGUCCCGCAACGAGCGCAACCCUUGAUCUUAGUUGCCAGCAUUCAGUUGGGCACUCUAAGGUGACUGCCGGUGACAAACCGGAGGAAGGUGGGGAUGACGUCAAAUCAUCAUGCCCCUUAUGACCUGGGCU
rnacentral:rRNA from 1 species